rnacentral:rRNA from 1 species
GUGAGGAAUAUUGCGCAAUGGAGGCAACUCUGACGCAGCCAUGCCGCGUGCAGGAAGAAGGCGCUACGCGUUGUAAACUGCUUUUAACCGGGAAGAAACCCCAGGACGUGUCCUGGGUUGACGGUACCGGAGGAAUAAGCACCGGCUAACUUCGUGCCAGCAGCCGCGAUAAUACGAAGGGUGCAAGCGUUAUCCGGAUUCAUUGGGUUUAAAGGGUGCGUAGGCGGAGCGUUAAGUCAGUGGUGAAAUCCUGCAGCUUAACUGUAGACUUGCCAUUGAUACUGGCGCUCUUGAGUGCGCUUGAAGUGGGCGGAAUGUGCCGUGUAGCGGUGAAAUGCUUAGAUAUGGCACAGAACACCAAUUGCGAAGGCAGCUCACUAAGGCGAUACUGACGCUGAGGCACGAAAGCGUGGGGAUCGAACAGGAUUAGAUACCCGGGUAGUCC